GGCUUUAUAGUCAAUAAUGAUAUUAGAUUGCAAUUCUAAAGGAAUAAUAGAAUAAUUAUUAAGGCUU
rnacentral:tRNA from 1 species